rnacentral:rRNA from 1 species
CACGUAGGCGGAUGUGCCAGUCAGGGGUGAAAUCCCGGAGCUCAACUCCAGAACUGCCUCUGAUACAGCACGUCUUGAGUUCGAGAGAGGUGGGUGGAAUUCCUAGUGUAGAGGUGAAAUUCGUAGAUAUUAGGAAGAACACCGGUGGCGAAGGCGGCCCACUGGCUCGAUACUGACGCUGAGGUGCGAAAGCGUGGGGAGCAACA